rnacentral:rRNA from 1 species
GACGAACGCUGGCGGCGUGCUUAACACAUGCAAGUCGAACGGAAAGGCCCUGCUUUUGUGGGGUGCUCGAGUGGCGAACGGGUGAGUAACACGUGAGUAACCUGCCCUUGACUUCGGGAUAACUUCAGGAAACUGGGGCUAAUACCGGAUAGGAGCUCCUGCUGCAUGGUGGGGGUUGGAAAGUUUCGGCGGUUGGGGAUGGACUCGCGGCUUAUCAGCUUGUUGGUGGGGUAGUGGCUUACCAAGGCUUUGACGGGUAGCCGGCCUGAGAGGGUGACCGGCCACAUUGGGACUGAGAUACGGCCCAGACUCCUACGGGAGGCAGCAGUGGGGAAUAUUGCACAAUGGGCGGAAGCCUGAUGCAGCAACGCCGCGUGCGGGAUGACGGCCUUCGGGUUGUAAACCGCUUUCGCCUGUGACGAAGCGUGAGUGACGGUAAUGGGUAAAGAAGCACCGGCUAACUACGUGCCAGCAGCCGCGGUGAUACGUAGGGUGCGAGCGUUGUCCGGAUUUAUUGGGCGUAAAGGGCUCGUAGGUGGUUGAUCGCGUCGGAAGUGUAAUCUUGGGGCUUAACCCUGAGCGUGCUUUCGAUACGGGUUGACUUGAGGAAGGUAGGGGAGAAUGGAAUUCCUGGUGGAGCGGUGGAAUGCGCAGAUAUCAGGAGGAACACCAGUGGCGAAGGCGGUUCUCUGGGCCUUUCCUGACGCUGAGGAGCGAAAGCGUGGGGAGCGAACAGGCUUAGAUACCCUGGUAGUCCACGCUGUAAACGGUGGGUACUAGGUGUGGGGUCCAUUCCACGGGUUCCGUGCCGUAGCUAACGCUUUAAGUACCCCGCCUGGGGAGUACGGCCGCAAGGCUAAAACUCAAAGGAAUUGACGGGGCCCCGCACAAGCGGCGGAGCAUGCGGAUUAAUUCGAUGCAACGCGUAGAACCUUACCUGGGUUUGACAUGGAUCGGGAGUGCUCAGAGAUGGGUGUGCCUCUUUUGGGGUCGGUUCACAGGUGGUGCAUGGCUGUCGUCAGCUCGUGUCGUGAGAUGUUGGGUUAAGUCCCGCAACGAGCGCAACCCUUGUUCACUGUUGCCAGCACGUUAUGGUGGGGACUCAGUGGAGACCGCCGGGGUCAACUCGGAGGAAGGUGGGGAUGACGUCAAGUCAUCAUGCCCCUUAUGUCCAGGGCUUCACGCAUGCUACAAUGGCUGGUACAGAGAGUGGCGAGCCUGUGAGGGUGAGCGAAUCUCGGAAAGCCGGUCUCAGUUCGGAUUGGGGUCUGCAACUCGACCUCAUGAAGUCGGAGUCGCCAGUAAUCGCAGAUCAGCAACGCUGCGGUGAAUACGUUCCCGGG